GUGCUGUCAUCAGUGAAUUACCUCUGAACUGCCAACAAUGAAAUCGAACAAGAGUUACCGCAAUUCUUCACAACGUUAUUUCCAACUGAACGUUGUCAUACUAACGCACUGUUUUCUUUGAGAAGCGACGCUCUGCUUCCGUCAUCAGGAAGUAUACUAAAACACACUUUGAUGGGGUCCAUUAGCUGAAGCUAAUGUCUAUCUCAAGAGAGACGCGGUGUCCAAAUCCUGAAACGACACGACAGAAAAGGCCCCGAGCGUAUGUCACUGAUAGAAAAGAUUUUCCAUUCUUCCCGAACGAGCAGUCGAGUGGAUUUGUUGGGCCUUGAGAAGAAAUUGCCCAACGCUGUUGCUGACGCCCGACGACAAGAUCCAAUUGUGUGUCAAACCCGAGGUGACAGAUCACAUUGAUCUUAUGUACAGAGCUGCGAGAUCUACAUGCAGCACAAGAACAU